rnacentral:misc_RNA from 1 species
UCCAACUUAAACGCUGGCAGUCUAGUAUGAAAAUCAACAUACUACGGGGGUUGCGCUCGUUCUCCCACUUAAGGGAACAUCUCACGACACGAGCUGACGACAACCGUGCAGCACCUGUGUAGCACCCUCGAAGGUCACACGUUUCCGUGCGCUUGCAGCUACAUGUCAAGCCUUGGUAAGGUUCCUCGCUUACCGUCGAAUUAAACCACAUGCUCCACCGCUUGUGCGGGUCCCCGUCAAUUCCUUUGAGUUUUAGUCUUGCGACCGUACUCCCCAGGCGGAAUACUUAACGCGUUAGCUACGGCUCGCACGAGGGUCGAUACUCGCGCAUGCCUAGUAUUCAUCGUUUACAGCGUGGACUAC